UUUGUAGAAAAAAAAAGUUGUAACAAGGUCUCCGUUGGUGAACCAGGGGAGGGAUCAUUGGUGGAACGCGCCCCAGGCGCACCCAGAAACCCUUUGUGAAUUUAUACCUUUUGUUGCCUGGGCGCAUGCUGGUUUUUAGUAGGCCCCUCACCCCGGAGAGGAGAGGGCACGCCGGCGGCCAAGUUAACUUUUGUUUUUACACUGAAACUUUGAGAAAAAACACAAAUGAAUCAAAACUUUCAACAACGGAUCUCUUGGUUCUGGCAUCGAUGAAGAAAGCAGAGAAAUGUGAUAAGUAAUGUGAAUUGCAGAAUUCAGUGAAUCAUAGAAUCUUUGAACGCACAUUGCGCCCUGUGGUAUUCCGGAGGGCAUGCCUGUUGGAGCGUCAUUUCAACCCUCAAGCAUUGGUUGGUGUUGGGGCACUGCUUUUAAGCAAGCAGGCCCUGAAAUAUAGUGGAGAGCUCGCCAGGACCCCGAGCGCAGUAGUUAAACCCUCUCUUUGGAAGGCCCGGGGGGUGCCCAGCCGUUAAACCCCCAAAUUUUGAAAAUUUGACCUCGGAU
rnacentral:rRNA from 1 species